rnacentral:tRNA from 1 species
GUAGCAUUAGCUUAAUGGAUAGAGCUUAAGCCUCCUAAGCUUAUGAUGUCAGUUCAAAUCUGAUAUGCUACACCA